GAAGCCCCCCUCAAGAUGAGAUUUCCCAUAGCGCAAGCUAGUAAGAUCCCUGAAAGAUGAUCAGGUUGAUAGGUCAGAGGUGGAAGCGUGGCGACAUGUGUAGCUGACUGAUACUAAUCGAUCGAGGACUUAACCAAA
rnacentral:rRNA from 1 species